rnacentral:rRNA from 1 species
UUGACCUCAAAUCAGGUAGGACUACCCGCUGAACUUAAGCAUAUCAAUAAGCGGAGGAAAAGAAACUAACAAGGAUUCCCCUAGUAACUGCGAGUGAAGCGGGGAAAGCUCAAAUUUAAAAGCUGGUGGUCUCAGGCCGCCCGCAUUGUAAUCUAGAGAAGUGUUAUCCGCGCUGGACCGUGUACAAGUCUCCUGGAAUGGAGCGUCAUAGAGGGUGAGAAUCCCGUCUUUGACACAGACUGCCAGGGCUUUGUGAUGCGCUCUCAAAGAGUCGAGUUGUUUGGGAAUGCAGCUCAAAAUGGGUGGUAAAUUCCAUCUAAAGCUAAAUAUUGGCGAGAGACCGAUAGCGAACAAGUACCGUGAGGGAAAGAUGAAAAGAACUUUGGAAAGAGAGUUAAACAGUACGUGAAAUUGCUGAAAGGGAAACGCUUGAAGUCAGUCGCGUUGGCCGGGGAUCAACCUUGCUUUUGCUGGGCGUAUUCUCUGGUUGACGGGCCAGCAUCAAUUUUGGCCGCUGGAAAAAGGUCAAGGGAAUGUGGCAUCUUCGGAUGUGUUAUAGCCCUUGGUUGCAUACAGUGGCUGGGAUUGAGGAACUCAGCACGCCGCAAGGCCGGGUUUUUAACCACGUUCGUGCUUAGGAUGCUGGCAUA